GCUGCUGGUGACAAAGUCACAAUUGGAGAUUUGAUGAUCAGUAUUGAAAGCCACAUCAUGUGAUGGCAUCCCAGAACUUUCUGCAGCUUUCACCAGCUAAUGUCUUCAACUUACAAAAACAAGAGAAAGGUACAAGGACACUGGAGUUUGUUCAAAGGUCUUCGGUUUCAUCCCAAGGAGUGGCAUCCCUCCACAUCCCAGUCUGCCCAUCGACCAGUGUGCAUAGGGGUCGCCGUGACGACCAGGCUCCAGUCGCCACGGAGACGGACAGACGACCCCACCCCAGCCCCUGCGCUUUCUCGUGUUACAGCGAGGCACGACCCUGCGCCUGCCAUAAGGUCACGGCCCGCAUAGUCCCUCUGGUACCCCGGGAGCGGCCAAAUAUCUUGCACUCUGUCCGCCUGCCAAUCUCCUCUGCCCCACAGAUGGCUCCAUAUUUCAGAUUUAUCACCGAAAAGCAAAGCCCUUCUUUAAAGAGAUCUAGAGACCCGUAGAGAUUUCCCCUUUGUCGUGUAUGCAAGGGAGUUCUGCAGGUUCGCUGUGGUGAUGGCUUUAGAUGACGCCACCAUCGAGUCUCUGUUCUGGCAUGGCCGUUCCUCAGUCAAGCUUGCCGGCCGCGGCAUUCUCAAGCCCCCCAACCACUCUGCAGACAAGCCUGCCGGCCGCUCCAGUCUCAAGCCCACCGACCAUGCCUUUUACUCCUAACCAAAUGAGGAAUUUAAGGAGGAAAAGGCUGUUGGCUGAAGACCCUAAGUCCACUCCAGUGUCGGCUCCAGCCCCA
ensembl:lncRNA